UACAGAGGUCUCAAGCGUUGUUCGGAAUCACUGGGCGUAAAGGGUGCGUAGGCCGCACGGUAAGUCAGAGGUGAAAUCCCGGAGCUCAACUUCGGAAUUGCCUCCGAUACUGCCGUGCUUGAGGACUGGAGAGGAGAUUGGAAUUCACAGUGGAGCAGUGAAAUGCGUAGAUAUUGUGAGGAACACUAGUGGCGAAGGCGAAUCUCUGGACAGUUCCUGACGCUGAGGCACGAAGGCCAGGGGAGCAAAUGGG
rnacentral:rRNA from 1 species